rnacentral:rRNA from 1 species
AGGGAAUCUUCCGCAAUGGACGAAAGUCUGACGGAGCAACGCCGCGUGAGCGAUGAAGGUCUUCGGAUCGUAAAGCUCUGUUGUUAGGGAAGAAAAAGUUGGAUAGUAACUGAUCCAACCUUGACGGUACCUAACCAGAAAGCCACGGCUAACUACGUGCCAGCAGCCGCGGUAAUACGUAGGUGGCAAGCGUUGUCCGGAUUUAUUGGGCGUAAAGGGCUCGCAGGCGGUCUUCUAAGUCUGAUGUGAAAUCUUGCGGCUUAACCGUAAGCGGUCAUUGGAAACUGGGAGACUUGAGUGCAGAAGAGGAGAGUGGAAUUCCAUGUGUAGCGGUGAAAUGCGUAGAGAUAUGGAGGAACACCAGUGGCGAAGGCGACUCUCUGGUCUGUAACUGACGCUGAGGAGCGAAAGCGUGGGGAGCAAAC